AAAUAGAACUUUGCAGAGAGAGUUAAGAGGGCGUGAACCGUUAAUUGGCAAACGAAUCGGAGCCACGAAGUCGUUUCGUCGUUGAGUCGGGGUUUAGUUCAGCGCGCGUCGAGAGGCGCGCGUGUACUCUAGAUCUGGCCAACCUUGUAAGCGUACACUGCAACUAGUUAGACGAUUGAUUGUGGGCAUUGUGAGCUGAUUGAGCAAUCGAUUGGCGCACGCAGCACUUGUUUGUCUGCGUUAGCAGUAGCGCGGCAGUGUUUCGGCGCUGUGGUGUUGCUUGACGCAGGCGAGUGAACUACGAUCAAAUACUGACUAGCGAAAUGAAAAUCGUCCAUCAGCGACGUUAGAGACAACACAGUUCAUUGGAACGGCGACUACGUAGCCGACUGUUGGGUCUAAGCUCGGCGUUUUCGAAUUUAGACUUGCUUGCUAUCAGUGGGGCAACUCCUGAUGCUUGUACAGCUUCUAUCUAAUCAAGCGUUGACUUGGCCAAGCAUCGUUCGGUUGCGAAUCGAUCGGUCGUUGUUUCAAAUAAACUUGUAGCUUGAAUUGGCAGUGAGUAGGUCGGCUUUCCGAACGACCCGUCUUGAAACACGGACCAAGGAGUCUAAUUAGGCAUCGAGUCGAUCGGUCUUGAUAGGCCAGAUGGGGAGUGUUCGCACACCCGAACGAAGGCGUAGAGAAAUCAAAUCGUGUGAUCGGACUCGGCAACAACAGCCGGUUCGCGCAACAUGUGCCUGUUCAGUGAAUUUGUGCCUUAAAACACAAUUCGAGCGGAGCAAAGAGAUGCCUGAUUGGGACCCGAAAGAUGGUGAACUAUGCUUGGGCAAAUUGAAGCCAGAGGAAACUCUGGUGGAGGAUUGUAGCGAUUCUGACGUGCAAAUCGAUCGUCAGACCUGAGUAUAGGGGCGAAAGACUAAUCGAACCAUC
rnacentral:rRNA from 1 species